rnacentral:rRNA from 2 species
CACGUAGGCUGUUUGGUAAGUCAGGGGUGAAAUCCCGCGGCUCAACCGCGGAAUUGCCCUUGAUACUGCUGGACUUGAGUUCGGGAGAGGGUGGCGGAAUUCCAGGUGUAGGAGUGAAAUCCGUAGAUAUCUGGAGGAACAUCAGUGGCGAAGGCGGCCACCUGGACCGAUACUGACGCUGAGGUGCGAAAGCGUGGGGAGCAAACA